ensembl:lncRNA
GAGGUGGAGGCAACAAGACACUGGGUCCUGUACGGGACUCAAAGGCUCAGGAGAAGAGACGCCCCCCUCACCACCACCGCCCCGUCCUCCGCUCGCCCAGUAACAGCCACGCCCCCUCAUCCCGCGCGGCCGCUCCUCACUCUCCCCCCUCCUCCUCUUCCUCUUCGUCGUCCUCCGUUUGCGCUCCGGGUUCCUGUCCUCUCCCGGGCUCCGUCAGUAUGUCAGGGGUAAGUUGUCCAGACAUCCAGGCGGGGGGGUCCAGUUCAGUGUGUGUGACCAGGAUGCCCUUCCCCAUGCGCUCUGGGCGUGUGGGGAGGAGCUGCCGGCCUCUGUCCUUCACUCAGACUAAAGACUUGGGGCCUGAGCACAUACUUUCCUCCAUCAAAUUUAGCAAGUGUGAACUGCAGCCACAUUUGAGCCGGAUUCCCAUCAGAAGAAUAGGGUCGAGUGAAGCCCCGCCUCAAAACUGUCACUCAAACGGGAAAGAGGAGCUGUCCACUCUGAGGGUGUGGAAGCUGCUACGGCCUGGACUGCAGCGCCAUCUGUCACUCACAGGUGUAUCGGGAAAGCAGGCUGCGUUACAGUUGGCCUCCAAAGCAAUAAUCAAGAAAAAUACUGACAAUGGUCUCCAAUUCAACAAAGGAACAGAUAUUAUUGAAACCACACCUGAGGUGGAGGAGACUGCUCUGCUGCCUCUGCCAGAAACCCUUAACUUGAGUGAAACAGUGACACUCUGUGGUGAAGCCUAGUAACUGCACAUAUGUUUACUUUAUUUAUUUAUAGCAUAAACUGUAUACAGUCUUUAAUUUAUAGAGUUGAAUGGGACAAACCCAUAGUCAAAAUGAAGAUAACAACAUAAACUCUAAUGAGGUGUUACUGUACAAUAAAUGGGUUUGUUUAGUCUUUAGUUGUAAAUGCAGUGGUGGUG